rnacentral:misc_RNA from 1 species
GAUGAAGAACGCAGUGAAAUGCGAUAAGUAAUGUGAAUUGCAGAAUUCAGUGAAUCAUCGAAUCUUUGAACGCACAUUGCGCCCCCUGGUAUUCCGGGGGGCAUGCCUGUUCGAGCGUCAUUUCACCACUCAAGCCUCGCUUGGUAUUGGGCAACGCGGUCCGCCGCGUGCCUCAAAUCGACCGGCUGGGUCUUCUGUCCCCUAAGCGUUGUGGAAACUAUUCGCUAAAGGGUGUUCGGGAGGCUACGCCGUAAAACAACCCCAUUUCUAAGGUUGACCUCGGAUCAGGUAGGGAUACCCGCUGAACUUAAGCAUAUCAAUAAGCGGAGGA